CAAUGUGGAAUUUCAGCAUCAUUGCCGGAGGUGUGGGGGCUUGUUUUGCAACAGCUGCACCCAGCAAAGAAUGUUUUUUACGCGGGCAAGGCAGUUUGAAGUUGAAUCAAAGCCUGAGGAUGAAGUUCUGAACCAAAGUGAGAGAAGUGAGAAUUCUUGAAGCAUUGAACUUGACCGUCAGAUCAGAGUAAUAGACAUGUUACUGAUCAAACACCUUUUGAUUGAUAUAGCGGAAGCAUGAGGUUAACAUAUCAAAAUUUUAUACGCCCAUGAGAGGAGCUUCGGAAAUGGAAAUCCUGUACAGAUUUGCU